rnacentral:misc_RNA from 1 species
GAUUAAGAACGUAGCGAAAUGCGAUAAGUAAUGUGAAUUGCAGAAUUCAGUGAAUCAUCGAAUCUUUGAACGCACCUUGCGCCCCUUGGUUAUUCCAAAGGGCAUGCCUGUUUGAGUAUCAUGAACACCUCAACUCUUGUGGUUUCCCACAAUGAGCUUGGACUGUGGAGGUUUUGUUGGCCCUGUGGUCAGCUCCUCUCAAAUGGAUCAGCUUACCGGUGUUUGGUGGCAUUACGGGUGUGAUAACUAUCUACGCUCGUGGUCGUCUCCAAAUAACCUCCAGUGAUGGAGGUUCGCUGGAGCUUAUAAAUGUCUCUCCCCAGUGAAGACAGCCUUUGAACGUUCGAUCUCAAAUCAGGUAGGACUACCCGCUGAACUUAAGCAUAUCAAUAAGCGGAGGA